GGAGUAUGGGCCGUGUCUCAGUCCCAUUGUGGCUGAUCAUCCUCUCAAACCAGCUACUGAUCGUCGCCUUGGUGGUCCAUUACACCCCCAACUAGCUAAUCAGAUGCAGACUCAUCCCAGAGCACCGGAGUUUUCAAGAACAGCAUCUCAGCUGCGCUCAUAUGGGGUAUUAAUCACCGUUUCCAGUGGCUAUCCCCCACUCUAGGGCAGAUUCUCUACACAUUACUCACCCGUCCGCCACUUUCCAUCACCCGAAGGUGACUUCUCGUUCGACUUGCAUGUAUGAAGCACGCCGCCAGCGUGUCCUCGUAGCACGGAGUCAAACUACU
rnacentral:rRNA from 1 species